AUUACAGUAAAGUUUUAUCAGUAACUUGCUUCUACUAGGAACUCCUCAAAAAUAUCUUUUUUAGCCAUAAUCCUUCAUAAUUUCCCUGUAGGAACUCCUAAAAAAGAUCUUCUACUACUUCAACAUUACUUUUAGCCAUAACAUUUUGAUUGUUACUCUUCUAUGAUCAAGUUCUCCCAAUAAAUGUGCAAUAUCCGGUACUAAACCUUCUAUCUAUUGUUGAAACUCCCAAGUUGCAUCCAUGAAUACUUCUAUUCCAUUGGUUUCCCACUCUUCUUGAAGAAUAAAACCUUUCUUCGAGAGCCUUUCUUAGAGGGUCUUCUUUAUCACAGCGAGUUUCUCAUAGUGAGUGCAUGUGUUGACUAACUACACUGAUUGCAAAGAUAAUAUUUGGUCGAAUAUGUAAUAAGUAGAUUAAUUUGCCAACUAAUCUUUAAUACUUUCCUGUUUCAA
rnacentral:lncRNA from 1 species